UGCAAGUCGAACGGUAACAGGAAACAGCUUGCUGUUUCGCUGACGAGUGGCGGACGGGUGAGUAAUGUCUGGGAAACUGCCUGAUGGAGGGGGAUAACUACUGGAAACGGUAGCUAAUACCGCAUAACGUCGCAAGACCAAAGAGGGGGACCUUCGGGCCUCUUGCCAUCGGAUGUGCCCAGAUGGGAUUAGCUUGUUGGUGGGGUAACGGCUCACCAAGGCGACGAUCCCUAGCUGGUCUGAGAGGAUGACCAGCCACACUGGAACUGAGACACGGUCCAGACUCCUACGGGAGGCAGCAGUGGGGAAUAUUGCACAAUGGGCGCAAGCCUGAUGCAGCCAUGCCGCGUGUAUGAAGAAGGCCUUCGGGUUGUAAAGUACUUUCAGCGGGGAGGAAGGGAGUAAAGUUAAUACCUUUGCUCAUUGACGUUACCCGCAGAAGAAGCACCGGCUAACUCCGUGCCAGCAGCCGCGGUAAUACGGAGGGUGCAAGCGUUAAUCGGAAUUACUGGGCGUAAAGCGCACGCAGGCGGUUUGUUAAGUCAGAUGUGAAAUCCCCGGGCUCAACCUGGGAACUGCAUCUGAUACUGGCAAGCUUGAGUCUCGUAGAGGGGGGUAGAAUUCCAGGUGUAGCGGUGAAAUGCGUAGAGAUCUGGAGGAAUACCGGUGGCGAAGGCGGCCCCCUGGACGAAGACUGACGCUCAGGUGCGAAAGCGUGGGGAGCAAACAGGAUUAGAUACCCUGGUAGUCCACGCCGUAAACGAUGUCGACUUGGAGGUUGUGCCCUUGAGGCGUGGCUUCCGGAGCUAACGCGUUAAGUCGACCGCCUGGGGAGUACGGCCGCAAGGUUAAAACUCAAAUGAAUUGACGGGGGCCCGCACAAGCGGUGGAGCAUGUGGUUUAAUUCGAUGCAACGCGAAGAACCUUACCUGGUCUUGACAUCCACGGAAGUUUUCAGAGAUGAGAAUGUGCCUUCGGGAACCGUGAGACAGGUGCUGCAUGGCUGUCGUCAGCUCGUGUUGUGAAAUGUUGGGUUAAGUCCCGCAACGAGCGCAACCCUUAUCCUUUGUUGCCAGCGGUCCGGCCGGGAACUCAAAGGAGACUGCCAGUGAUAAACUGGAGGAAGGUGGGGAUGACGUCAAGUCAUCAUGGCCCUUACGACCAGGGCUACACACGUGCUACAAUGGCGCAUACAAAGAGAAGCGACCUCGCGAGAGCAAGCGGACCUCAUAAAGUGCGUCGUAGUCCGGAUUGGAGUCUGCAACUCGACUCCAUGAAGUCGGAAUCGCUAGUAAUCGUGGAUCAGAAUGCCACGGUGAAUACGUUCCCGGGCCUUGUACACACCGCCCGUCACACCAUGGGAGUGGGUUGCAAAAGAAGUAGGUAGCUUAACCUUCGGGAGGGCGCUUACCACUUUGUGAUUCAUGACUGGGGUGAAGUCGUAACAAGGUAACCGUAGGGGAACCUGCGGUUGGAUCAC
rnacentral:rRNA from 1 species